GACGAACGCUGGCGGCGUGCUUAACACAUGCAAGUCGAGCGAUGAAGCUCCUUCGGGAGUGGAUUAGCGGCGGACGGGUGAGUAACACGUGGGUAACCUGCCUCAUAGAGGGGAAUAGCCUUCCGAAAGGAAGAUUAAUACCGCAUAAGAUUGUAGUACCGCAUGGUAUAGCAAUUAAAGGAGUAAUCCGCUAUGAGAUGGACCCGCGUCGCAUUAGCUAGUUGGUGAGGUAACGGCUCACCAAGGCGACGAUGCGUAGCCGACCUGAGAGGGUGAUCGGCCACAUUGGGGCUGAGACACGGCCCAGACUCCUACGGGAGGCAGCAGUGGGGAAUAUUGCACAAUGGGGGAAACCCUGAUGCAGCAACGCCGCGUGAGUGAUGACGGUCUUCGGAUUGUAAAACUCUGUCUUCAGGGACGAUAAUGACGGUACCUGAGGAGGAAGCCACGGCUAACUACGUGCCAGCCGCCGCAGUAA
rnacentral:rRNA from 1 species